GAGAGAGAUAGAUAGAGAGAACUGAGUACUGGAAUGCUGCGGCAGCAUAUAAAGGGAAAUUGAAGUUUUUGUCUAAUGUGCGUUGCGUAUCAAUUCCCGGUU